rnacentral:lncRNA from 1 species
AAGAGUGUUAGUAGCAUCCCCAAAUAAAGAUUACUUGUCUCAGGCCAUCACCAGAGCGGAGGAAGGCUACUAUAGGCAUUGCUUGGUAACUGUGUUUUCAUCACUUCAGAGGGAAAGGAUGAAGACCUCCCUUGUCAGGCUAAGGUAUAUUAAAAACAGCCAAUAUGCAUUCUUGUUUAAAACUAUGUGAGCAGCAAGAGUCCUGCUUCUCAAGCUUUAAUGUGCAAAUAAAUCAUCAAGGUAAAAUACAGAUUCUGACUCACUAGGUCUUGGGGGUGCUGAGGCUGCUGGUAUGGAAACUACACUUUGAGUAGUAGGUGCUGGGGAUCCUGUCUCAGCUUCAUUUCAUCUUCUUGCUGCCCCUUGAUACCUUGGAAUCAAUAGUUAAGACUUAUUGAGCAUUUAUAAUGUGCAAAGUUCUUUAUAAACAUUUCCCCAGUUUGCUGAUGAGGAACUUGAGGCCUCUUCUGGUUCCUGGUUAAGUUACCUGGCUUAGGUCACGUGGCAGGCAAAUAGCGGGGCUGGAAUUCAAAUCCGGGAAGCCUGAUUUUAUUAAUAGAUCACAUGACCCAGAACACCACCCUAUAUUGCCUCCCAAAGGCAAGACAGAUUCAAGAAAACACAUAAAAGUGUUGUGUCAGGGCCCCUGAACACUCUGUUUGCAAAGGCUGCUUGUUGCCAAUAGCCACUAAUCCCCCACCACAAACAACACACAAGCAGCUGUAGCCAUCAAACUGUGGGUUAGAGUGCAAAAAGGAUAUUCCCAUUUCUGUUUCUGCCCAUCCUGAAAGCAAUUCAGCAUUGAAGAGAGAAGUUUUCCAGCUCUGAAAAUUACUUCAGGCAAGAAAUUAACUGAAUUAUUUGGUUUAGAAAGCAAACAGCUGGUAGGAAAUGUGCUUUUUCCCAAAUAAAGAUUUCAGAUACUUGCUAGAGGCAUAUUGAUCCACUGCUAGGAAAAGAAGGAAGGCAAGGAAGGGUUAUUCGUGAGCAAUUAGUUAUAUGCAUCCUUUACCACAAGCAAGAAUGAUGUUCUGGGCUGAAAGGCCACCAGUUGUCAAUAAUGCACCAAGGGGAGGUUUACCGGGCAGAUCUGCAACCACUGAGCUGCUUUGUAAAUCUGCGUUGGAGUCAUUCAUGGUUGCAUUAUGGCCAUGGUGCUGCUCCUCAUGCAGGCUUGCUCUCAUAGAAAAGGGGGAACCGGUAUUACCCACACACUGUGAAUUCACGUAUAAGUAGUGCUAGAGUAAUGUUGAGAUCCUGACAAAUGACAUUAUUGCUUGGUGGCUGGAACAUGGGAAGAGGUGUUGGCUCACCAUUCAUCUCUUGGGCAGUAUUUCCAGGGUCAAGGCACGGAGGAUAAGCUAAUCAAUGAAAUCAGGGUAAAUGAGCUUUCACAGGGACACUGAAAAGAAUGAGAAGCCCCAUGUGAAUGUGUAGACUAUCAUUAUCCAGCAGCCCUGAUAAGAGGAUAAUGAAACAAUCCCUUCUCAACUGGAUCGGGUGGCUGUCAGACUAAAAUGACACCACCCGUACAUCCUUGACAUGCUACCACAAGCUAAUUGACAGCAAACAUUGGCAACUGUCUCCCAUGCACCAAGACAAAGGAAACAUAUUCAUGUCACCUGAUGGGAGAGCUACCUGGCAACGGAUAAACAAAUGUGUUAGGGAGAUGUUCUAUUAAGGUAAGUGAGGGCACGGCUCUGUAGAACAUGCCUAUUAACUUUGAGCUUAAGCGUGCUGCUAUUCUCUAGGGAACAGAAAUAAAUAAAGCAAAAUGAGAAUUUAUUGAUGUCUGGACAGCUACAUGAAUAUUCAGGUUCUCUUACAAACAGAUAUUCCCCCAUGAGCUCCAAACUUCUGCGUAGGCUGCUCAAUUACAUUUCCACAUCAUGCAGCUGGAUUUAUAGCCAGGGAAGAGGUGUUAGUGUGUGGAAGAGGAUACAGGUUUAUAUGCUUCUCUGGAGUACCCUGCAAUACAACUAGAAGAUAAUGGCUGAUGCCAUCCACAUAAAUGUCAAAAGGUACCAUCAAGCAUUCCUAAAUACCAGGUCUAAUUAACUUCAUGUUAGGAAAAGCUCUGGAAACAUCUGCAUUUCAGAACAAAGACAUUUUGUUACCAGUAGAAUGGCAUCAUCUGGCAGCUCUAUCAACUUCUCUGGGAUGAACCUUUCACACAGCCCUCUUAGAUCUUUCCAAGCAAUGCAUGACACAGCUAACCUCAAAUCUCCUACCUUUUCUGUCUUUUCUCCACCUCCCAACCUACCUGCUACUCACCUUCGAAGGAUUCAUGACACAGAAAGUCAGUAAAAUAGCUGGAACAAGCAAACUAUUCAGACUACCCUGUGGGAAAUCUGUCAUUUCCUCCUGGUCUGUGUGUUAUGUUAACCCUCAUUGGGGCAGAGUGGGAAGGCAGAAAAAAAGGAGAAAGACGGGGUAGACGUGGCCAAUCACUCCUGGAAGUUCUUACAGAAAGAUCCCUCACCUUUUUUUGGAAAUAAAAGUUUUACUUGGCCACAAAAAACAAAGCUGCAGUAAAAAAUACUGGGUUCCCAAUCUCCUCAUUACUCAUGCCUCAACUAUCUCCUACCUGUACCAUGUUGACCACAAAAGAUAUUUCCUCCCUUUCAGAGCAUGCUGAGACAAUCCCACCCACUCUACUUUCACGUGACUUCUAAAAUCACUUCACAGUGAAGGCUUCUUGGAAACAGAUUUUUAGCAUAGACAGCCAAUCUGAUUUUUAAUGCACUAUUAUUCUAGCCAAAGUCAAGGGAUGACCUAUCAAUCAACUCUGAACUCUCUCAAAGAGCCUCUCCCUUUCCUAGAUGUGUAAAAUGAAGUAACAACAGCCCUUCUGGAGAAUUACGCUAUAGCGAGGAGCUCACAGCUUCUUCGAUUAUCAUGAGCCCUGGGCGAAACUGCAUCGACAAUGAAGCUGGUUUUGUUAUGACUCCAGAGAACCCCCUUUCCUCCUUUAUUCACACUCUGACCACAAUCUUCCAUUUGGCCAUCAGGCGCUUCAGGUUACCUCCUAGCUUACUUUACUCUCAAGAUAGAUGCUAGAAGGUACUCACGUGCUGUCAUGAGUUUAUGCCCAUAUACAACAUUUUUUCAAAUAAUUUUUAUGUAAAGGCUUUUAUCUGUAUCUGGAAUGGAGGGUUCAGCCUUCAGUUAUAUCCAUUUCAAACAUCCUUGUUGCUGCUAGAAAAUAUAUUUUGAGGAAGCAUGUGACAUCCCUGUUAGAAUGUGACUAGAUGGGUCCCUAAAGUUCAAUAUUUCAAUUAUUUGCUUUACUUUAGGCUUUAAUUUAUGUGUCUAGGAGAGGCUUAGAUUUUCGAAAACAUAACCCUUGAUAUUCAAGAAUUUGAGAUACUUUCCUUUCUAGGAAAAAAAAUCUUGGGCAGAAUAAAACCAGGACUGCCCCUGCCUCUGAUCUCUUUGCCAGCCUUUAGCACCUCAUAACUAGAAUGGAGCCCCACCUGUCCUGAGGCAGUUUCUUCCUAAGUGAGAGCCACGUUAGUCAGUGCUCCCACAAUGGCCCAGGCUGCUUCUGCAGGUGUCUUCUUGCAAUUUGUUGCCUUUAACCAGUAAUAGUUCCAUUUGAGGGCCACUACUUUUGGGGUUCCAUAGAGUGCCCUGGGAGACCUAUGAGUAUUGGAUAGUACAUGAGUUCUGGAUGCCUUCAAUGGAAACAGCUUUGCCAUUAUCUGUUUUAAAUAUUGGGCCUUAAAAAGUCUCCAAAAACCCAUGGACUAGAAGACUACUAAAGUAUUUGCUAAAUCUAAAAUAUUAUGGGGAUCAAUAAAAUGAUAAAAUCUGCAUGUAUUACAUGAUCCUAAACUGUCUUAUAAUACAUUCUCCUCUUUAAUUCAUUUCAAUUAAUCCACUUUAUGGAUGCCUUGAUUUCACUCAGUCAUUUUGAUGAAUGUCUCAGAUGUAAGUAUAAAACAGGGCUUGGCAAACCUUUGUUGCAAAGGAGCAGACAGAAAAUAUUUUAGGCUUUGCAGGCAAAGAGGCAAUGUUCACAUUCUUCAGGCAACUGUUCUCACCUAAAGGCUAAUAACUUUUAAAAAAUUUUUUACAUUAAAAAAUCUUAAAACCAUCCUUAGUUCUCAGGCCAUGCAAAAUCACGGGGCAGGCCAGAUUUGGCCUAUGGGCCAUAGUUUGCUGAUUCUCAGUGUAAUAACUGUUGCAUGCUAACUACUAAGAACCAUCAUGAAAAGACUAGGGAACUGUUUUUGAAAUAUGAAAACUAAAUUUGAGGUAAGCAACAGUCAAGAACAGUUUUUUUAGACACCUGAGAGUAUAUUUUGAGAUAAAUGACAUGGCCUGGAAGAGCCUAUUUACAAAAUGACAUCAGGACCAGGGCUACAUCCCAGCAAUACCAAAACAAGGAAUAUGUAAAAUUGCAUUGGCCGAGGCCAUCAAUCCCAUUUCUCCUUUCUUCCACCUGCCUCACUCUCACAAAUUCACUGUUCAUUAAAUUCAGUUUACAAGCAGGCAAUGGCACUCUGUACAACCAGUAUAAGGAUACUUCUACUCUUCAUGGAAACAACAACAACAACAAAAGUCUAAUUUGCAGAUCAGAAAAUGGGCCUUAGAAUACAGAAGCUCCAGCCCUCCGCUUGACUUAAAUUCUUCUUGGAAGGAACGCUUUAUGUCAGCACAUCCAUUACUGACUACCAAGUAGUAGCACCCAGCAUAAAAGACAUGGAUAGAAGGGGUUCUAUUCACUGCCACAGACAUUGACUUUGUUCACAAUUAAUAAUCCAACAUUUUAAGCAAGAAGGAAAGAAAAAAAGAGAAAAGAACAUGAGCAUCUGCCAAUUGCCGGGGAGUGUACUAAACUCUUUUAUGUUAUCUCAUUUAGUUCUCAUAGCAGUCCUAUGGAGUCAGUAUUAUUAUUAUUAUAGAAAAGGAAAAGUAACCUCCCCAAACUGAACAUCUAGGGACUGGAGAUCCAGAACUGGAGUUUAGAUUUAGCUCCACGUUCUUUCUGGCAUAGCACGCUGUCUCUAAAAAACAAAACAAACCAAACAACAACAACAACACAACAACAACAAACCCACCAACAACACUACUUUUGAAUGACCAAACCCUAGUAACCAUCAAAACACAAUUUUGACAUUGUGAGUUUGGGGGCAUUGCCACCCCAGUGAUGGCUUUGUAAUUCCAAUUUGCUUUUCUUUAGAGAGCUACAGUAGAUUUCCUUAAUUAAAAAAUGCCAUGUGAACUACUGGCAAAGUAGUGGAAUACAAAAUGUAAAGAAACAUAUUUCAGUUUUCUUUUAUUCUACUGAGUGAUGUUGAUUGUAUUCCCAAACUUUUAGGCUUCCACUUUUCCUUCCUUCCUCAAAAAAAAAAAAAAAGAAGAAGAAGAAAGUAGGAGGAAGAGGAGGAGGAGGAAAAGGUAGGUAAUUGGUAAUCUGUGGCAUCUGUUCUCUAAUUUUCAGAACUAUAGCAUGUAUUUUUAUAGUAUUUAGAUAAAAGCAACAAUAGUUACAACUAUUAGGUGCUGAACACUUACUAUGUUUAAAGAACUCUUUAUGUCAUUUAAUCCAGCAGUUGAUCGCACUAAGAGGAAAAUUCGGGUUACAGGAAGAAGUGUCAUUUCCAUUUAUAAAUGUUACAUUUGAGCAUAGAUUGGCUAAAGCGAUGAUCACAGGGAUUGUACAAAACGUGGUCAGUAACGUAAUUUAAGAAAAAAGAGCCGCUGCCAUGGUUCAUGCUUGUAAUCUCAGAACUUUGGGAGACCAAGGCAGGAGGAUCACUUGAGUCCAGGAGUUUGACGUAAGCCUGGGCAAGACCUUGUCUCUACACAAAAUAAUUUUAAAAAUAAAUUAGCCAGGUGUGGUGGCACAUACCUGAAGUCUCAGCUACUCAGAAGGCUGAGGCAGGAGGAUGACUUGAGCCCAGGGGUUCAAGGUUACAGUGAGCUAUGAUCAUGCCACUGCACUCUAGCGUGAGUGGCAAAGCAAGAUCCUGUCUCAAAAGAAAAGACACAAAAUAUUGUCCAUUCUUGCUUUUUGUAUAGCUAUGACUCCGAACUGCCUUAGUCCUCCAGAACUAUGAAUCCUAGAUCAUUACUUUCCCAACUGCAAAAUCUUGUAGGGUAGCUGAUGCAUCGCAUCUUUCAUGAAGUACAUCCACUUCUCAGAAAUGCUUCAUAGGCAUCCCUGUGAACCAGCCUGAGGAGCAAAUUCCUAUGCACGUUGAUGAGACUUUAUCACAUUUUCUUUUUAAUCGUGAAGAGUUCCCCUUUCUGCAGCCACUCACUCCUAGAAGGUAGAAAAAAGGACUUUCUCUACGUCCCCAAGGAAAAGGUUCCAGUGAAGCUUACAGACCCCUCACUUCUUAAGGUAGGACUAGGUGUUAGUAGAAACGCCAGGGUAAGACUCAACUCUGAAAUCCAGGGCUGAUGGGUAGUGAGAGUAGAAGCAGGACAUGAGCAGCUAAGUUCACUAGAGAGAACGGGACUGGAGUCUCAGGAGCAAACCCAGGUCACAGCUAGAAAUAGGGAGUUCUAGAAGCAAGGCAAAAAAAAAGCAGCCUGGAAAUUUAGGUAGAAAAACUAAGACUCCAAUAAGACUCCAAGAAGGCAGCUGCAACUUCUGAUGAAUCAAUGCCUGCUGUAAAGGCAGUGUUAAUGGUUUGAGUCACGGCCGGGGCACCUGAGCAGGGCAGAUCAGCCCAUGACAAUAUUGAGGAAGACAGCAUAAAAGCCAGUAUUCUGGGACAGUGCUGAUAGCUGCGUGGAAUGAAUAAAUUCCACAAUACCCUCUAUUCAGUGCCUGCAAUAUGCUCUCUUAUUACUGUAAAAUAUGGCAAGUAAUAUCCAAGUUAUAAUUCAUUAAUGUCCCUUAAUUUAGAGUCUUUGCUAUUCUUAAGAUUUUCAGUACCCAUACAAGUAUAAAAAAGAUGAAAUUUCACUGUGGCUACAAACACCCUGAAUAGGAACAGUUUUUUUUUUCUUUACUCUUCACAGGAAAGAGACAUAACCACCUAUGUUUUUCUUUCCUUGGAAGGCAAAUUCAGUUGAAGCAGAAAGUCAGAACUUUAGACUCAGCAGUCUGGUCUAUAACCUCUUAACCAUAAAAAGUAUUAGCUUCUCAUUUCAGAAAUUUUAUCCUGAAUUCUCUGUUUUGCCACCUUCUUAAGACCUGCUUCAGGUACACCUCAGAGUAUAAUAGACUCAGCCUUCUCUUCUCAUGUGCCAGUUGAUCACUGGUGAAAUUAUACACAUCUAACUUUUAUUUUAAGUUCAGGGUCACAUGUACAGGUUUGUUAUAUAGAUAAGCUUGUGUCAUGGGGGUUUGUUGUACACAUUGUUUCACUGCCCAGGUAUUAAGUCUACUUGUUUUUCCUGAUCCUCUCCCUCCUCCCACCCUCUACCUUCCGAUAGGAGAAAUAAUAAUACAAAAAUAACCAAUACUUUUCCCAAUAAGGAUAAAGCCGCAAUUGCCCAGCCUCGCUACUUGCCUCUCCUCCUCAAUGAGGUACGGAAUUGUUUUUGCUCACCUACAAAAAUAUUUUUACGGCAAAACUUGCACAUAUUGUAAAACUGGGUAAUUCAGCUUAAUCUUGCAUGAAAAACUAACAUGAAUACAAGGGACUAAGUGGAUAUGAAAAACUGAAGCACCAAAUUAAGCAGCCUGCAAACAUCUAAAGGCAUUAACAUUAACUGCAAACAUGCAGAUGAGCCCUGUGCUGGCUGGGAAUCAGAGUCUUCAUUUUCUUCAGCUGAGUGGUUAUAAGAUCUCAUUCUUAAUCAAAAUAUGAGCAGUGUCAUUAUAACGCUGCUGUGGGGUGACAAGCAAAAUAUCCACCUAUAGGUUUUAUGUAGUGAGAAACAGAACUAGAUACUACAGUGCAAUUCUAAUUCUAACUCCUCCCAGUCAAAAUUCAGGUCAUGUUUUCCCAGAAGUCAUAUGCCUACAUUUUAUGAUCCAGAGCAAUGGUUUUCAAAGGCUGAAAAACAUUUGACCAGCAGCAGCACCUGGACCAGCAGCACCUGGUGGUGUCACCUGGGAACUUGUUAGAACUGUCUGGCACAAAUUCAGAUUCUUGGGACUCACUCAGACCUUCUGAAUCAGAAACGCUGGGGGUAGGGCCCAGCAAACUGUAUUUUCACAAGAUUUCCAGGUGAUUUGAUGCAUACUGAAGGACUGGCUCAGGACUAGAGGUGGGGGCUCAAUUAACAGCUUAAAAUGACCAGUGCCUACAACAGAGAAGUAUGAAGCUUGCUCCUGACCUCACUGCAUUCUCCAAUCUAACUCGGUGGACCAUCACAGAUGCAAGAGAGGUUACAAAAACUGCAAGGUUUUGAUAGCAGUUCAAAGGAAUGCUUCACACAGACUUUGCCAAAUGUUUACCUUUAAAUCCCUUUUGUGCCCCCAAGUUUCCACCUCCUUCUGACCAAUUCCAAAAUUGUUCUGCUGCUUUUUCACCUUUGUGAAUUCCAAACAAAGCAGUGCUUUUGAAGUUAAUGCAAGUAAUAACUAUGCAUUUUUAUAAUGCUCUAUGUCUUUUUAAAGACUUUCAUAUAGUUACGUUGUUUAAUCUUCACAACUCUCCUAUUAAGUUUAACCUACUGGGAAAUGUGUGUGGUAGUUUAGAACCCUCUAAUAAAUCUCUAACUUAAUAACCAUUUUCUGAGAACAGACUAUAUGAAGCACUUUUACAGAAAAUUAUUUCUAACACAACUCUGCAAGCUGUCCCACGACAGCAAAUAUACUCAAUUUAAGAAUGUAGAAAACAUAUUAAAACAUGUACCAUAAAAUUACAUUAAAAUGAAAUAGUAACUAUUUCACAAAUUUCUGUUAAAUCCUGUAUAGAUUUUUAUAUGGUGCUAUUUCUUACAAAAAGUAAUGAUAUUGUAAGAGAGAAGCCGUCACCUCCCAGUAAGGAGGGUAAAGUGAAGAGAAUAACACGUGACUUCAAAUAAUCCUGCUCCAAAAAAAGUAUUUUUCCUUCUACAUUUCC